rnacentral:rRNA from 1 species
GACGUAGGGCGCAAGCGUUACUCGGAAUUACUGGGCGUAAAGGGCGUGUAGGCGGUUAGUUAAGUCUGGCGUGAAAGCUCUCGGCUAAACCGGGAGAGGUCGUUGGAUACUGGCUGACUAGAGGACGGUAGAGGCGUGUGGAAUUCCGGGUGUAGUGGUGAAAUGCGUAGAGAUGUGGAGGAACACCAGUGGCGAAGGCGACUCUUUGGCCUGUAACUGACGCUGAGGCGCGAAAGCGUGGGGAGCAAACAGG